AUUGAACGCUGGCGGCAUGCCUUACACAUGCAAGUCGAACGGUAACGGGCCUUCGGGUGCCGACGAGUGGCGAACGGGUGAGUAAUGUAUCGGAACGUACCUUUCAGUGGGGGAUAACGUAGCGAAAGUUACGCUAAUACCGCAUAUUCUGUGAGCAAGAAAGCAGGGGAUCGCAAGACCUUGCGCUGAUUGGGCGGCCGAUAUCAGAUUAGCUAGUUGGUGAGGUAAAGGCUCACCAAGGCGACGAUCUGUAGCGGGUCUGAGAGGAUGAUCCGCCACACUGGAACUGAGACACGGUCCAGACUCCUACGGGAGGCAGCAGUGGGGAAUUUUGGACAAUGGGGGCAACCCUGAUCCAGCCAUGCCGCGUGAGUGAAGAAGGCCUUCGGGUUGUAAAGCUCUUUCGGCCGGGAAGAAAUCGUAUCAGCUAAUACCUGGUGCGGAUGACGGUACCGGCAUAAGAAGCACCGGCUAACCACGUGCCAGCCGCCGCAGUAAUAC
rnacentral:rRNA from 1 species